CGGGAAAAUCUGACAGGACUGAGAAGAUGAUAACAGCACAGCGGGGUUUUAGAAGCCCAUCAGAGUGCUUUCCUGAGCUCUUUCACAUAUGCUGUAUGGUAAGAGUGAAUUUCUGCCAGUUGAUACCGGUGACAGGUGUUAAUUAUUAAGUUUAUCUUUGUAUUUUUUAUUAAAGGUCAGCGAAUGGAUGGAUUAUCCAGUCACGGUACAUAAUGAAAGACUUGACUGAGUUAGAAGAAGCUGGGCGACUCUUCAGAGUGAAGAUGUUAUGAUGCAGUUAUGUCAAAGCACUCGUUUCUGCUGGCCAGAUUGGAACAGACCUGAAUGGGAAGAUGGCAGAGCUAAGACUGACAAUGUCCAGGAAAAAUGUUAACUAAAAAUUAUUGUUUUUC